AUUGAACGCUGGCGGCAUGCCUUACACAUGCAAGUCGAACGGCAGCGCGGGUGCUUGCACCUGGCGGCGAGUGGCGAACGGGUGAGUAAUAUAUCGGAACGUGCCCUAGAGUGGGGGAUAACUAGUCGAAAGAUUAGCUAAUACCGCAUACGAUCUACGGAUGAAAGUGGGGGAUCGCAAGACCUCAUGCUCCUGGAGCGGCCGAUAUCUGAUUAGCUAGUUGGUGGGGUAAAAGCCUACCAAGGCGACGAUCAGUAGCUGGUCUGAGAGGACGACCAGCCACACUGGGACUGAGACACGGCCCAGACUCCUACGGGAGGCAGCAGUGGGGAAUUUUGGACAAUGGGGGCAACCCUGAUCCAGCAAUGCCGCGUGUGUGAAGAAGGCCUUCGGGUUGUAAAGCACUUUUGUCAGGAACGAAACGGUGAGGGCUAAUAUCCUUUGCUAAUGACGGUACCUGAAGAAUAAGCACCGGCUAACUACGUGCCAGCAGCCGCCGUAA
rnacentral:rRNA from 1 species